GCAGUUCCGGCAGACAAGCCCCCCUUGGUUUUACUCUGCUUGCUACUAUAAAUGAACUGCAAAGCCUUCCCGUUCUUAAUAGGGAAUUCCCUGUACAUCAAUCCAAACUGAUGAAUAACAGAGAAACAGCUCAAAGAAAUUUGGUAGGUAGUGAGACCAAG